GGGUGAGUAGGUUGGUCGUGCCACCGGUACGUACUGGUCUCACAGAUUCCUCCUUCCUGAAGAACCGUAAUGCCAUUAAUUUGGUGUUGCGGGGAAACAGGACUGUUACUUUGAAAAAAUUAGAGUGUUUACAGCAAGCUAACGCUUGAAUACAUUAGCAUGGAAUAAUGAAAUAGGACGAUCGAUCCUAUUUCGUUGGUUUCUAGGAUUGACGUAAUUAUUAAUAGGGAGAGUUGGG
rnacentral:rRNA from 1 species